AGACAUAACUCGAAUUUUCGAUAAAUUGAGAAGAUACAGAUGAAUCUUGAAAUCUUAAAUCUCUUCAAUAGUUUCUUGAUAAAUAUCCACUUGUGUCCUCUCCUCUUUGCCCAAAAUCAAAUUUGAAUCUCCACUUGAUUGAGCUCUUGCAAGACCUCUUCAAUUCUCUCACAAAAACUAUGAAUUUUCCUCAUUUGAUGAUAAUAAUUGAUAAGUAUUGAAAAAUGAGAUGUAUAUGAGAGAUAUUUGAGAGGCCCUUUAUAUGCAUUCUGCUGUUAAAUAUUUGCAGGAGUCGAAAAUUGGUUGAAAAUCACGUCCAAAUUGGUUUCCAAAAGAGUUCCAAUCAAAUAAGAAAAGUUACCUUUGCGCGCGAAUUUUAUCUCUACACAACAGUCAGUAUUUUGGUCAUAACUUUCUCUCCUGAUAUUCAAUUGAAACGAUUCAAAGUGUGUUGUUAACAUGACUUGAAGGGCUACAAUUUUGAUAGAAAUGAAAUUUUUCCAAUUCGAACAUUUAUUAUGCCAAAAAUCGGUCUUAAGUUUCAAUUAAGAAACAAACAAAUAUCUUGUAUGAUUGAAAAUCGAUUUAUGAUAAUAUUCUGUUCAUAUUCCACUCCUUUUUAACUUCUAAUUGACUCCUAGCAAUCUUCAAAGUAUUGUCUUGUGGUCCAAAUCAACUAUUGGAUAUUUACAAUUUGGUCUUCAAAUUUUGUACUUCGCUAUUUUUCGUCUUUUUCGCUUCUUUCUUUCAAUUCAACUUCCAACCAUCAAACAUUAUCUAAUAAAUGAAAUAUACAAUAAAUUAUGCUAUAAUUGCUUAAAGAACUAUUGAAUGUCGAUAUUUUU
rnacentral:lncRNA from 1 species